GGAAUUUGAAUUGGUGUGCAAAGGAUUGUUGGCAAUUGAAAGAUGCAAAGGGUACACCUGAUGCAACCUUGAAAAAAGGUCAAAUAAAGGACGUGAAAGAUCUUCAAAUUGAGACACCCAUCGACAUGGCAGUCGAGAUAUGCAGCCUUACUAGGUCGCAUCUUUCUGAUUGAGAAGCACCCACUGCCUUUUAUGGGCGAGUCAUUGACUCAUUCACUCAACUGAUUAAUUCCACAAUACCAUCAUUGUACUUGUUGUAACUUUUUUGUGGCUUCAAGUCAUUAAAGUAGCCCUGUCAGCAGCCUUGCUUCAUUUAUAUUUACAUAUUGAUUGACAAAGUAUAUGCUUCGAUACUAACCUUUUGGGUUUGAGGUUCCAAUGGGCAACAGCUUCAAGAUAAACUCUGAGUAUGUGUAGCUGUCUAACUUGUUUGAUUUUGCUCGCUUAAGUCUGUUUGUGCUGGCAUACUGAGGAGAGGAGCAGUCUUUUGUAAUGUUACCUCCAGGCUGGUAAGCCUCUCUUAACCCUGUCAUGGAAUGAGAUGCUAAAAAUAGACUCAUCAGUGCUGGAGGCAAGAUUGGGAGAUGAGUGAGGCCCGGUCUGGAGGAGACUCAUUGGAAAGGGUUGUUGAUCUCUUGUUGUGCGGAGGAGGUUUUUAUUAAAAUGUGUUUGUUAGGACUGAAAUGUAUAAGGGGUUUGCCUAAUGGAAAGAGACAUCAUUACAGCAUGGCCUGCUGAUCCAGUGGCUCAGGAACGCUAGAUUUAUGGAUGAGGUCAGAAAACAACCAUAAGUCUACUAUCAGCACUUGGUACAAUCUCAAAGACAAUACAUUCUUUAUGAACUGAACUCUGGAGUCUAUGGAAGGUAUGAAGUUCUCCUGAAGUUCAGGUCCACAGGUGUAGUAUAUCACAUCACUAUGAUUAUGCUUAUUGUGGGGGGGGGGGUCAUACAGGUUUGGAAAGACAUGAGGGUGAGUAAAUGAUGACAGGAUUUUCAUGCCUUUAAGAUUGACUUUUGUGUCCAUAUACUGUACCUUUUGGGGCCCACUGUAUAUACUGUAAGCUAUAUGUGCAGCUGUAUCCUAAAUACGGAGACCAAUGUUUUCUAAUUUAAUGAAGUAAAUUUUACUAUCAGCAUACAAUUUAAGUGAGAAAAAUGAAUAAAAAAAUGUACAUGGAUUUCAGCAUUUCUUAGUAUAUCCUUUUUUCUGAAUGUCACGUGCACUCAAGCCACAUGAUCUAUUAUGUCCUAAUAUGAUUUGAGAAUGUCCCAAAUAGCAUCUUGUGCUUCAUUGUAAGCAAAACCGAUAGUGUACAAAUUAGUUUAAAUGAUCAGUGUCACAAAUUGCUUGCAUAUGAGACUGUUUGUAAGGAAAAUGUAUUUAAAAUAACUUCUGUGAUUAUUUACUUUUAGAUGGACUUUAAACUUUUCUUCUGACUUCAUCUGUAUCUGAAAUAAAGAAUCAUAACUAAAGGCAACUGAAGUCAGACAAAAAUGUGUUUUGUCGCAUUAAAAUUGUUUCAAUAAAAAAACGUCCAUUGCAACAGAGGAGGUCUGUAAACAUUCCCAAAGUUGUUUGUUUGCUCUGGCUCGCUUCUCUCUCA
ensembl:lncRNA